GCCAGACACAGUGACACAGACCUAUACUCCUAGCUACUUCAAAGGCUGAGGCAGGAGGAUUGCUUGAGCACAGGAGUUCUGGGCUAUAGUGUGUUAUACUGAUCAGUUGUCUGCACUAAUUUUGGAAUCAAUAUAGUGAUGUCCCAGGAGCCAGGGACCACCAGGUUGCCUAAGGAGGGGUUAACCAGCCCAGACUGGAGUAGGAGCAAGUCAAAAUUCCCAUGCUGAUCAGUCAUGGGAUCGUGCCUGUAAAUGGCAACUGCACUUUAGCCUGGGCAACAUAGCAAGACACUGUCUCUA
ensembl:misc_RNA Metazoa_SRP Metazoan signal recognition particle RNA